rnacentral:rRNA from 1 species
AAGAAUAAGCACCGGCUAACUACGUGCCAGCAGCCGCGGUAAUACGUAGGGUGCGAGCGUUAAUCGGAAUUACUGGGCGUAAAGCGUGCGCAGGCGGUUUGCUAAGACCGAUGUGAAAUCCCCGGGCUCAACCUGGGAACUGCAUUGGUGACUGGCAGGCUAGAGUAUGGCAGAGGGGGGUAGAAUUCCACGUGUAGCAGUGAAAUGCGUAGAGAUGUGGAGGAAUACCGAUGGCGAAGGCAGCCCCCUGGGCCAAUACUGACGCUCAUGCACGAAAGCGUGGGGAGCAAACAGGAUUAGAUACCCUGGUAGUCCACGCCCUAAACGAUGUCAACUAGUUGUUGGGGAUUCAUUUCCUUAGUAACGUAGCUAACGCGUGAAGUUGACCGCCUGGGGAGUACGGUCGCAAGAUUAAAACUCAAAGGAAUUGACGGGGACCCGCACAAGCGGUGGAUGAUGUG